GAUUUUCCCGCCAAAAG
rnacentral:sRNA from 1 species